ACCACCCUCGGGUGGUGGAAGUUACACUCCAACGCCAUCAACUCCAACUCCGUCGCCACCAUCGGGUAGUGGAAGUUACACUCCUACGCCAUCAACUCCCACACCGACAACACCUUCUGAUCCAACACCGUCGUCUCCUCCAAAUUGUGAUCCAACCCCAUCACCCCCCGAGGAUGGUAGUUACACUCCAACCCCGUCAACUCCCGAUCUAUCACCACCAUCAGGUGGUGGUGGAAGUUACACCCCAACACCAACAACUCCCGACUCUUCACCACCAUCUGGCGGUGGAAGUUACACUCCAACCCCGUCAACUCCCGACACAUCACCGCCAUCAGAUGGUAGUGGAAGUUACACCCCGACACCAACAACUCCCGACCCUUCACCACCAUCUGGUGGUGGAAGUUACACUCCAACCCCAACAACUCCCGACACUUCACCCCCAUCAGAUGGUAGUGGAAGUUACACCCCAACACCAACAACUCCCGACCCUUCACCACCAUCUGGUGGUGGAAGUUACACUCCAACCCCAACAACUCCCGACCCUUCACCACCAUCAGAUGGUAGUGGAAGUUACACCCCAACCCCAUCAACUCCCGACACAUCACCGCCAUCUGGAGGUGGAAGUUACACGCCAACCCCAUCAACUCCCGACACAUCACCACCAUCAGAUGGUAGUGGAAGUUAUACCCCAACACCAACAACUCCAUCAACACCCCCAACUAGCGACUGUGGAUCACCGCCACCAGUUGACUCUACAAGCCCAACAACACCAUCAAACCCUCCCUCCGGAGGUUACUACACAUCACCACCAUCAGAUCCUAUAACCCCAACAACACCGUCAAACCCUCCCUCCGGAGGUUACUACAC
rnacentral:lncRNA from 1 species